UACGUAGGGUGCAAGCGUUGUCCGGAAUUACUGGGCGUAAAGGGCGCGCAGGCGGCUCUGCAAGUCAGAUGUGAAAGCCCCGGGCUUAACCUGGGAAUUGCAUUUGAUACUCUGGAGCUUGAGUACGGGAGAGGAGAGUGGAAUUCCCAGUGUAGAGGUGAAAUUCGUAGAUAUUGGGAAGAACACCGGUGGCGAAGGCGGCUCUCUGGACCGUAACUGACGCUGAGGCGCGAAAGCGUGGGGAGCAAACAGG
rnacentral:rRNA from 1 species